rnacentral:rRNA from 1 species
CGACGAGACUUUUUAUUUGAUGCUUGCAUCUUUUAAAAAGUUGAGUGGCGAACGGGUGAGUAACACGUGGGUAACCUGCCUUAAAGUGGGGGAUAACACUUGGAAACAGGUGCUAAUACCGCAUAACCAUCAAAACCGCCUGGUUUUGAUGUUAAAGAUGGUUCUGCUAUCGCUUUAAGAUGGACCCGCGGCGUAUUAGCUAGUUGGUGAGGUAACGGCUUACCAAGGCAAUGAUACGUAGCCGAACUGAGAGGUUGAUCGGCCACAUUGGGACUGAGACACGGCCCAAACUCCUACGGGAGGCAGCAGUAGGGAAUCUUUCACAAUGGACGAGAGUCUGAUGGAGCAACGCCGCGUGAGUGAAGAAGGUUUUCGGAUCGUAAAACUCUGUUGUCAGAGAAGAACGUGUGUGAGAGUAACUGUUCACGCAGUGACGGUAUCUGACCAGAAAGUCACGGCUAACUACGUGCCAGCAGCCGCGGUAAUACGUAGGUGGCAAGCGUUGUCCGGAUUUAUUGGGCGUAAAGGGAACGCAGGCGGUCUUUUAAGUCUGAUGUGAAAGCCUUCGGCUUAACCGAAGUCGGGCAUUGGAAACUGGGAGACUUGAGUGCAGAAGAGGAGAGUGGAGCUCCAUGUGUAGCGGUGAAAUGCGUAGAUAUAUGGAAGAACACCAGUGGCGAAAGCGGCUCUCUGGUCUGUAACUGACGCUGAGGUUCGAAAGCGUGGGUAGCAAACAGGAUUAGAUACCCUGGUAGUCCACGCCGUAGACGAUGAAUGCUAAGUGUUGGAGGGUUU